rnacentral:lncRNA from 1 species
GAAGAAAUAGGGAGGAGGAGAUGGAUCUAAAAGACUUGUAGCAGAAUUUGGUAACUUUGAAGACAUGGAGAUAAAGGGAGAGAGAUGAGGUCUCGCUGUGUUACCAGCUGGUCUUGAACUCCUGCACUCAGGUGAUCUGCCUACCUCCCAAAGUGCUGGAACUUGUGAAAGGAAAAUAAAUCUUGGGACCCCAAAAUCACUAAGCCAAAGGGAAAAGUCAAGUAGAGAACUGCUUAGUGGAAACUUGCCUCACAUUCUAUUCCUUAAAAGCGGAUGGAUCUGGGUUGUGUGGUGAAUCAGGAUUGUUAAAGCUCCCCAGAUGAUUCUAAUAUGCAGCUAAGGUUGAGAAAUGUUGGCUUAGACUGUGAUUCUUAAAGUGUGGCUCCUGGAUCAGCAUAUCAGAAAUACCUGGGAACUAUAAAAAAUGCAAAUUCUUGGCCGGGUGCGGUGGCUCACGCCUGUAAUCCCAGCACUUUGGGAGGCCGAGGCGGGUGGAUCACGAGAUCAGCAGAUCGAGA